GCUGGGCGUGGUGGCUCACGCCUGUAAUCCCAGCACUUUGGGAGGCCGAGACGGGUGGAUCACUUGAGGUCAGGAGUUCGAGACCAGCCUGACCAAUAUGGUGAAACCCUGUCUCUA
rnacentral:SRP_RNA from 1 species